GACGAACGCUGGCGGCGCGCUUAACACAUGCAAGUCGAGCGAGAACCAGGGCUUCGGCCCUGGGGACAGCGGCGAACGGGUGAGUAACACGUGGAUAACCUGCCCUCGACAACGGGAUAGCCCGGGGAAACCCGGAUUAAUACCGGAUGGCCCUUCCGGCUUUCGAGCCGGUCGGAAAAGGUAGCUUCGGCCUCCGGCCGAGGAUGGGUCCGCGGCGGAUUAGCUUGGUGGUGGGGUAACGGCCUACCAAGGCUCCGAUCCGUAGCUGGUCUGAGAGGACGAUCAGCCACACUGGGACUGAGACACGGCCCAGACUCCUACGGGAGGCAGCAGUGGGGAAUCUUGCGCAAUGGGCGAAAGCCUGACGCAGCGACGCCGCGUGAGGGAGGAAGGCCUUCGGGUUGUAAACCUCUUUCAGGAGGGACGAAGCUACUCGGGUGAAUAGCCCAGAGGGUGACGGUACCUCCAGAAGAAGCCCCGGCUAACUACGUGCCAGCAGCCGCAGUAA
rnacentral:rRNA from 1 species